ACGGAGGUUGCGAGCGUUGUUCGGAAUAACUGGGCGUAAAGGGAGCGCAGGCGGUCUCGUAAGUCUAAAGUGAAAUGCCAGGGCUCAACCUUGGACGUGCUUUGGAUACUGCGUGACUUGAGUACGUGAGAGGAGAGUGGAAUUCCAGGUGUAGCGGUGAAAUGCGUAGAUAUCUGGAGGAACACCGGUGGCGAAAGCGGCUCUCUGGCACGUUACUGACGCUGAGGCUCGAAAGCGUGGGGAGCGAACGG
rnacentral:rRNA from 1 species